GCUAACGCGUUAAGUCGACCGCCUGGGGAGUACGGCCGCAAGGUUAAAACUCAAAUGAAUUGACGGGGGCCCGCACAAGCGGUGGAGCAUGUGGUUUAAUUCGAUGCAACGCGAAGAACCUUACCUACUCUUGACAUCCACGGAAUUUGGCAGAGAUGCCUUAGUGCCUUCGGGAACCGUGAGACAGGUGCUGCAUGGCUGUCGUCAGCUCGUGUUGUGAAAUGUUGGGUUAAGUCCCGCAACGAGCGCAACCCUUAUCCUUUGUUGCCAGCGAUUCGGUCGGGAACUCAAAGGAGACUGCCGGUGAUAAACCGGAGGAAGGUGGGGAUGACGUCAAGUCAUCAUGGCCCUUACGAGUAGGGCUACACACGUGCUACAAUGGCGCAUACAAAGAGAAGCGACCUCGCGAGAGCAAGCGGACCUCAUAAAGUGCGUCGUAGUCCGGAUCGGAGUCUGCAACUCGACUCCGUGAAGUCGGAAUCGCUAGUAAUCGUGGAUCAGAAUGCCACGGUGAAUACGUUCCCGGGCCUUGUACACACCGCCCGUCACACCAUGGGAGUGGGUUGCAAAAGAAGUAGGUAGCUUAACCUCCGGGAGGGCGCUUACCACUUUGUGAUUCAUGACU
rnacentral:rRNA from 2 species